rnacentral:rRNA from 1 species
GUGGGGAAUCUUGCGCAAUGGGCGAAAGCCUGACGCAGCCAUGCCGCGUGAAUGAUGAAGGUCUUAGGAUUGUAAAAUUCUUUCACCGGGGACGAUAAUGACGGUACCCGGAGAAGAAGCUCCGGCUAACUUCGUGCCAGCAGCCGCGGUAAUACGAAGGGGGCGAGCGUUAUUCGGAAUCACUGGGCGUAAAGCGUGCGUAGGCGGUUUUGUAAGUUGGGAGUGAAAGCACAGGGCUCAACACUGGAAUUGCUCUCAAAACUACAAGACUUGAAUUCGGGAGAGGAUAGCGGAAUUUGCAGUGUAGGAGUGAAAUGCGUAGAUCAUGACAGGAACACCAGUGGCGUAAGCGGCUAUCUGGACCGACAUUGACGCUGAGGCACGAAAGCGUGGGGAUCAAACAAGAUGAGAUACCCGGGUAGUCC